AUGUACAUUCCUACAACAUAACAUUAAUGCAGCAUAUCCCAUUAGAAAUCCAUAUUUAGGUGCGCUUAGGUUAGAGUAGUAUUGGGAUGGGUGACCGCUCGAGAAGUCCUAGUGUUUUACAUU
rnacentral:rRNA from 1 species